AGAGUUUGAUCAUGGCUCAGGAUGAACGCUAGCGGCAGGCUUAACACAUGCAAGUCGAGGGGUAUAAGUCUUCGGAUUUAGAGACCGGCGCACGGGUGCGUAACGCGUAUGCAAUCUACCUUUUACAGAGGGAUAGCCCAGAGAAAUUUGGAUUAAUACCUCAUAGCAUUGCAGAAUGGCAUCAUUCAGCAAUUAAAGUCACAACGGUAAAAGAUGAGCAUGCGUCCCAUUAGCUUGUUGGUAAGGUAACGGCUUACCAAGGCUACGAUGGGUAGGGGUCCUGAGAGGGAGAUCCCCCACACUGGUACUGAGACACGGACCAGACUCCUACGGGAGGCAGCAGUGAGGAAUAUUGGUCAAUGGACGCAAGUCUGAACCAGCCAUGCCGCGUGCAGGAUGACGGUCCUAUGGAUUGUAAACUGCUUUUGCACAGGAAGAAACAACUCUACGUGUAGAGUCUUGACGGUACUGUGAGAAUAAGGAUCGGCUAACUCCGUGCCAGCAGCCGCGGUAAUACGGAGGAUCCAAGCGUUAUCCGGAAUCAUUGGGUUUAAAGGGUCCGUAGGCGGUUUAGUAAGUCAGUGGUGAAAGCCCAUCGCUCAACGGUGGAACGGCCAUUGAUACUGCUAGACUUGAAUUAUUAGGAAGUAACUAGAAUAUGUAGUGUAGCGGUGAAAUGCUUAGAGAUUACAUGGUAUACCAAUUGCGAAGGCAGGUUACUACUAAUGGAUUGACGCUGAUGGACGAAGCGUGGGUAGCGAACAGGAUUAGAUACCCUGGUAGUCCACGCCGUAAACGAUGGAUACUAGCUGUUGGAAGCAAUUUCAGUGGCUAAGCGAAAGUGAUAAGUAUCCCACCUGGGGAGUACGUUCGCAAGAAUGAAACUCAAAGGAAUUGACGGGGGCCCGCACAAGCGGUGGAGCAUGUGGUUUAAUUCGAUGAUACGCGAGGAACCUUACCAAGGCUUAAAUGUAGAUUGACCGGUUUGGAAACAGACUUUUCGCAAGACAAUUUACAAGGUGCUGCAUGGUUGUCGUCAGCUCGUGCCGUGAGGUGUCAGGUUAAGUCCUAUAACGAGCGCAACCCCUGUUGUUAGUUGCCAGCGAGUCAUGUCGGGAACUCUAACAAGACUGCCAGUGUAAACUGUGAGGAAGGUGGGGAUGACGUCAAAUCAUCACGGCCCUUACGUCUUGGGCUACACAUGUGCUACAAUGGCCGGUACAGAGAGCAGCCACUGGGCGACCAGGAGCGAAUCUAUAAAACCGGUCACAGUUCGGAUCGGAGUCUGCAACUCGACUCCGUGAAGCUGGAAUCGCUAGUAAUCGGAUAUCAGCCAUGAUCCGGUGAAUACGUUCCCGGGCCUUGUACACACCGCCCGUCAAGCCAUGGAAGCUGGGGGUGCCUGAAGUCGGUGACCGCAAGGAGCUGCCUAGGGUAAAACUGGUAACUAGGGCUAAGUCGUAACAAGGUA
rnacentral:rRNA from 1 species